CCUCCUCCAUCUAACGCUUGCUGGCGCUGCUGAUUGGUCGUUCGCGAAGAUUCACGAGUGACUGACAGACAUGACAGACAGCAUUGCUGCUAUGCCAUUGCCACCCGACACACGUGAUGCCGACAUAGAUAUUUUAAUUUUGUAUUUGUUGGCUUGUAGUUGAUGGUGUUAUUAUACCGAAUGUGUUUGUGUUUGAAUAAAAGGU